UAGUAAACGAAAUCACGUUUAACCGAAACAGUCAGUGACCCAAAAGCAUGACUUUUGUAAAAAAUUGGAAUUAACAGUACUGGAAUUUGCAAAAUAAUCGUUGCAUUUUCUGUAUGUACGCUAUUAAUAGGUUUUAUUUUCCUUCCAUAUAUCCAUAAUAAAUAUAACUGCUAUAACCUACUGAGGAAAUAGAGGAAGAGAUAAAAGAUAUAUACUAUGAGGUUUUAGAGUAAAAUAGACAGCAUCCCAAAGGAAAACGCAUAGGUAAUAAUAAUGGGUGAUGCAAAUGCCACGUCUGAAAUGAAGAUAGUGGGAGGGGAAAGCAAGCACACGAACAGUAAUGACAAUGAUGUCGUUAGCAAUAGAAAAUAAUCUAAAAAUAAUGAGCACACAUUUCCAAAGAAACGACAUCCGAAAAGGGACAUGAAAAAAUAAUAAAAGUCAGAUCUGGUGGGAGUGCAAAUAAAGUUGAAAGAUACCUAUGGAAAGAGCAGAAAGGAAAAGAAGUUUAAGAAGGAAA